rnacentral:lncRNA from 1 species
GAUCUAGAUUUGUUGUUUCAGAAGGAUGAGAUCUUAACCAGGUUUGGCGAUAUUCCGCUUUGGCUGUUAAUCUCUCAAACUUGAUUUUGAAUCUUUGAAUCAACCAGUUUUAUCUUCUCAAUUUCAACGAGCCGUAGAUAUCCUUAAUUGCGAUUGAAGCAAACAGGUUAUAUGACGCGAAGGGAUUGGAGGAUUAUACUUCCGUGGUUGGAUGCUUAUAUCAGGUUAUACAAAGUGAAUGGGUUAGAUGAUUAUACAAUGUCCUUAAUUCAUCUCUGCUUGGAACUGCUGCAUCACAGAAUAGGAACCACACUAACACGGACCAAGCAUGGAAAGCUAACGGGUCAAGCGGAAGCGAGGGAGCAAGCAUGGACACUAACGCUUAAGGUGUGAACGUAUAUAUAUAUGCGGAUGCUAGUAUGCAUGUAUAACCGAAUGCCAGAAGGUAAGUACGUAUGUUCAUAUGAUUUCUAUAUGAUUAUGUUUUGAUGCAAAUAACAGUGUACCUUGAGAAUGAAGAAUAGUACAGGUACAAUGAUGAAGUCUCUCUGGAGAAUGGAUACUCAGAUGGAAAUGCCUAAUUAUAAAAGGGAUAACGGAAUAGAAAGUAAGAGUGUAUGAAACUUGUUACGUUCAUGUUGUGUACUAAUGUUUGAAAUUGUAUGGUAAGUGUAGGUUGUAUGAGUCACGGAGGAUCACUGAGGAGCGGAGAUCGAAGACCGAGUCACAAGUUAGAU